AUUGAACGCUGGCGGCAGGCCUAACACAUGCAAGUCGAACGAGUGGCGGACGGGUGAGUAAUGUCUGGGAAACUGCCUGAUGGAGGGGGAUAACUACUGGAAACGGUAGCUAAUACCGCAUAACAUCAGAUGUGCCCAGAUGGGCUUGGCUUGUUGGUGGGGUAACGGCUCCCCAAGGCGACGAUCCCUAGCUGGUCUGAGAGGAGGACCAGCAACACAGGAACGGAGACACGGUCCAGACGCGUACGGGAGGCAGCAGUGGGGAAUAUUGCACAAUGGGCGCAAGCCGGAGGCAGCCAUGCCGCGUGUAUGAAGAAGGCCUUCGGGUUGUAAAGUACUUUCAGCGGGGAGGCGUUACCCGCAGAAGAAGCACCGGCUAACUCCGUGCCAGCAGCCGCGGUAAUUC
rnacentral:rRNA from 1 species